GGACCUGACUGCUAUCGGAUUGAUACUAAGCCAUGCGAGUCAUUGUAGUAAUACAAGGCAGACGGCUCAGUAACGCGUAGUCAACCUAACCUAUGGACGGGAAUAACCUCGGGAAACUGAGAAUAAUGCCCGAUAGAACAUUAUGCCUGGAAUGGUUUAUGUUCCAAAUGAUUUAUCGCCGUAGGAUGGGACUGCGGCCUAUCAGUUUGUUGGUGAGGUAAUGGCCCACCAAGACUAUUACAGGUACGGGCUCUGAGAGGAGUAGCCCGGAGAUGGGUACUGAGACACGGACCCAGGCCCUAUGGGGCGCAGCAGGCGAGAAAACUUUGCAAUGUGCGAAAGCACGACAAGGUUAAUCCGAGUGGUUUCUGCUAAAGAAACCUUUUGUCAGUCCUAGAAACACUGAUGAAUAAGGGGUGGGCAAGUUCUGGUGU
rnacentral:rRNA from 1 species